AGAGUUUGAUCAUGGCUCAGAAUCAACGCUGGCGGCGUGCCUAACACAUGCAAGUCGAACGCGAAAGUCCCGAAAGGGAUGAGUAGAGUGGCAAACGGGUGAGUAACACGUGGGUGACCUGCCCUCGAGCGGGGGAUAACGUCCCGAAAGGGACGCUAAUACCGCAUAACAUCCUGCCUUUGAAGAGGCGGUGAUCAAAGCUGGGGAUCGCAAGACCUAGCACUCGAAGAGGGGCCCGCGUCCGAUUAGCUAGUUGGUGGGGUAAUGGCCCACCAAGGCAACGAUCGGUAGCCGGCCUGAGAGGGCGGACGGCCACACUGGGACUGAGACACGGCCCAGACUCCUACGGGAGGCAGCAGUGGGGAAUUGUUCGCAAUGGGCGCAAGCCUGACGACGCAACGCCGCGUGGAGGAUGAAGAUCUUCGGGUCGUAAACUCCUUUCGAUCGAGACGAAUUCCUCCGGGGCGAACAAUCCCAGAGGUGACGGUACCGAGAGAAGAGCCGA
rnacentral:rRNA from 1 species